rnacentral:rRNA from 1 species
UGGGGAAUAUUGGACAAUGGGGGCAACCCUGAUCCAGCAAUGCCGCGUGUGUGAAGAAGGCCUGCGGGUUGUAAAGCACUUUUGUCCGGGAAGAAAGGGCCUGACCUAAUACGUUGGGUGGAUGACGGUACCGGAAGAAUAAGCACCGGCUAACUUCGUGCCAGCAGCCGCGGUAAUACGAAGGGUGCAAGCGUUAAUCGGAAUUACUGGGCGUAAAGGGUGCGUAGACGGCCUGAUAAGUCGGAUGUGAAAGUCCUGGGCUCAACCUGGGGACGGCAUCUGAUACUGUUGGGCUUUGAGUUUGGGAGAGGGUGGUGGAAUUCCCGGUGUAGCGGUGAAAUGCGUAGAGAUCGGGAGGAACAUCCGUGGCGAAGGCGGCCACCUGGCCUGAAACUGACGUUGAGGCACGAAAGCGUGGGGAGCAAACAGG